UACGUAGGGUGCGAGCGUUAAUCGGAAUUACUGGGCGUAAAGCGUGCGCAGGCGGUUCGUUGUGUCGGCGGUGAAAGCCCCGGGCUUAACCUGGGAAUGCCGCUUAAUACUGCCUAACUAGAGUAUUGUAGAGGAAAGUGGAAUUUACGGUGUAGCAGUGAAAUGCGUAGAUAUCGUAAGGAAGACCAGUGGCGAAGGCGGAUCUCUGGACAGUUACUGACACUGAGGCACGAAGGCCAGGGGAGCAAACGGG
rnacentral:rRNA from 1 species